rnacentral:rRNA from 1 species
AUACGGAGGAUCCGAGCGUUAUCCGGAUUUAUUGGGUUUAAAGGGAGCGUAGGCGGACGCUUAAGUCAGUUGUGAAAGUUUGCGGCUCAACCGUAAAAUUGCAGUUGAUACUGGGUGUCUUGAGUACAGUAGAGGCAGGCGGAAUUCGUGGGGUAGCGGUGAAAUGCUUAGAUAUCACGAAGAACUCCGAUUGCGAAGGCAGCCUGCUGGACUGUAACUGACGCUGAUGCUCGAAAGUGUGGGUAUCAAACAGGAUUAGAUACCCUGGUAGUCCACACAGUAAACGAUGAAUACUCGCUGUUUGCGAUAUACAGUAAGCGGCCAAGCGAAAGCAUUAAGUAUUCCACCUGGGGAGUACGCCGGCAACGGUGAAACUCAAAUGAAUUGACGGGG